rnacentral:lncRNA from 1 species
GAGGAAGUUAUCCGAAGUACAAGAAUUCGCAGGGGGAGAUUGCAGUUAUUGUAAAGAGCUACUCGGGCCCUAUUCAGACCUCCUGCAAUUUCCGGCUUUUAUAGAGAUCCAUAUUCAGCUUGGUCUGGUAUGAACAGUGUAGAAGGAAUGCUAACGAAGAAUCCAACUCUGCUCUUAACUCUGCUCUUAACAUCACUAGGAAAAAAUGUCGAGAUACUCGUGUAUAUAGCAAUAGAUAAAAGGCGUUCAUAGGUCCUCUAUUUUUGGUUCAUUUUUGUGUCAAUAGGCUAUAGAGAAGGUGGGGAGAUUAUGUACUGGCACUCUAUGGGUG